AGUGAACGCUGGCGGCAGGCCUAAUACAUGCAAGUCGAACGGCAGCACAGCAGAGCUUGCUCUGUGGGUGGCGAGUGGCGGACGGGUGAGGAAUACAUGGGAAUCUGCCCAGUCGUGGGGGAUAACGUAUGGAAACGUACGCUAAUACCGCAUGCGCCCUACGGGGGAAAGUCGGGGACCGCAAGGCCUGACGCGAUUGGAUGAGCCCAUGUUCGAUUAGCUAGUUGGCGGGGUAAAGGCCCACCAAGGCGACGAUCGAUAGCUGGUCUGAGAGGAUGAUCAGCCACACUGGAACUGAGACACGGUCCAGACUCCUACGGGAGCAGCAGUAGGGAAUAUUGGACAAUGGGGGCAACCCUGAUCCAGCCAUGCCGCGUGAGUGAAGAAGGCCCUCGGGUUGUAAAGCUCUUUUGUCCGGAAAGAAAGCAAUCGGUUAAUACCCGGUUGUUCUGACGGUACCGGAAGAAUAAGCACCGGCUAACUUCGUGCCAGC
rnacentral:rRNA from 1 species